GUGGUUGUGGCUCAGUGGUUAAGCACUUACCUCAUAUGUGUGGGGCACUGGGUUCCAUUCUCAGCAUCACA
rnacentral:tRNA from 1 species